GGACUAUUCCGCAGCACCCCUCUCACAUUGGUACAUCCCCCCCCCUCCCCCGGUAUUCAUUGUCUUCUACAGUAGAGCGGGACAUUUAAUUUACUCUCAGCGGAAUUGACCGGAGAAGGCAUCAGUUCAUGCACUGCACUGGCCCGCACCACGAUUAGUAUAAGGCACAUUUCACGAAGCAGAACGCAGUCUUCAGAGAUAUCCACGUGAACGCUGUGAUACGUCUGACCUUCAGUCCGAAGAAGAAACCCAGACCAGUCUUAAAAGAAAGCACAAACCAAAUCCCCUGUACACAUAUACGGACUCAGAGGAUGAGCAGCCUACAAAAAAACGGUUUCCCCAG